rnacentral:rRNA from 1 species
GACGAACGCUGGCGGCGUGCUUAACACAUGCCAGUCGAACGGAAAGGCCCUGCUUUUGUGGGGUGCUCGAGUGGCGAACGGGUGAGUAACACGUGAGUAACCUGCCCUUGACUUUGGGAUAACUUCAGGAAACUGGGGCUAAUACCGGAUAGGAGCUCCUGCUGCAUGGUGGGGGUUGGAAAGUUUCGGCGGUUGGGGAUGGACUCGCGGCUUAUCAGCUUGUUGGUGGGGUAGUGGCUUACCAAGGCUUUGACGGGUAGCCGGCCUGAGAGGGUGACCGGCCACAUUGGGACUGAGAUACGGCCCAGACUCCUACGGGAGGCAGCAGUGGGGAAUAUUGCACAAUGGGCGGAAGCCUGAUGCAGCAACGCCGCGUGCGGGAUGACGGCCUUCGGGUUGUAAACCGCUUUCGCCGGUGACGAAGCGUGAGUGACGGUAAUGGGUAAAGAAGCACCGGCUAACUACGUG